AAAGGAAUUGACGGGGGAACACACAAGCAGUGGAUUAUCUAGAUUAAUUGGAUACUAAGCCAAGAAUCUUACCUAAACUUGACAUGUACUAUGUCCUAUGUGAAAGCAUAGUAGUCUGAGCAAUCAGGCGUGGUACACAGGUGGUGCAUGGUCGUCGUCAGCUCGUGCCGCAAGGUGUCUAGUUAAGUCUGGAAACGAGCGCAACCCUCAUCUUUAGUUAGAAUGUCUAGAGAGACUGCCUGGGUAACCAGGAGGAAGGAGAGGAUGACGUCAGAUCCUCAUGCCCCUUACGUUUAGGGCUUCAUAGAUAAUACAAUGGGUAGUACAACGAGAAGCAAGACCGCGAGGUGGAGCAAAACUCUAAAGCUAUCCUUAGUUCGGAUUGUAGUCUGGAACUCGACUACAUGAAGUUGGAAUUGCUAGUAAUGGCGGGUCAGAUACACCGCCGUGAAUAUGUCCCUGUUCCUUGCACACACCGCCCGU
rnacentral:rRNA from 1 species